rnacentral:rRNA from 1 species
ACGGUAACAGGAAGCAGCUUGCUGCUUUGCUGACGAGUGGCGGACGGGUGAGUAAUGUCUGGGAAACUGCCUGAUGGAGGGGGAUAACUACUGGAAACGGUGGCUAAUACCGCAUAACGUCGCAAGACCAAAGAGGGGGACCUUCGGGCCUCUUGCCAUCAGAUGUGCCCAGAUGGGAUUAGCUUGUUGGUGAGGUAACGGCUCACCAAGGCGACGAUCCCUAGCUGGUCUGAGAGGAUGACCAGCCACACUGGAACUGAGACACGGUCCAGACUCCUACGGGAGGCAGCAGUGGGGAAUAUUGCACAAUGGGCGCAAGCCUGAUGCAGCCAUGCCGCGUGUAUGAAGAAGGCCUUCGGGUUGUAAAGUACUUUCAGCGGGGAGGAAGGUGUUGUGGUUAAUAACCGCAGCAAUUGACGUUACCCGCAGAAGAAGCACCGGCUAACUCCGUGCCAGCAGCCGCGGUAAUACGGAGGGUGCAAGCGUUAAUCGGAAUUACUGGGCGUAAAGCGCACGCAGGCGGUCUGUCAAGUCGGAUGUGAAAUCCCCGGGCUCAACCUGGGAACUGCAUUCGAAACUGGCAGGCUUGAGUCUUGUAGAGGGGGGUAGAAUUCCAGGUGUAGCGGUGAAAUGCGUAGAGAUCUGGAGGAAUACCGGUGGCGAAGGCGGCCCCCUGGACAAAGACUGACGCUCAGGUGCGAAAGCGUGGGGAGCAAACAGGAUUAGAUACCCUGGUAGUCCACGCCGUAAACGAUGUCUACUUGGAGGCUGUGCCCUUGAGGCGUGGCUUCCGGAGCUAACGCGUUAAGUAGACCGCCUGGGGAGUACGGCCGCAAGGUUAAAACUCAAAUGAAUUGACGGGGGCCCGCACAAGCGGUGGAGCAUGUGGUUUAAUUCGAUGCAACGCGAAGAACCUUACCUGGUCUUGACAUCCACAGAAGUUUGCAGAGAUGCGAAUGUGCCUUCGGGAACUGUGAGACAGGUGCUGCAUGGCUGUCGUCAGCUCGUGUUGUGAAAUGUUGGGUUAAGUCCCGCAACGAGCGCAAC